rnacentral:tRNA from 1 species
AGGAUAUUAAUUUAUAAAAAAUAUUUAAAUUGCAUUUAAAAUAAAGUAAAAUUAAUUUACUAUAUCUUA